AAGUGGCGCGGGGGCUCAGAGAAGGCGGAGGGGGCGGUGAGGCCCGAACGCGGGAAAGGCGGAGACCCCGCCUCCCCGGGGCGGAGGGAGAGUUGGGCUCGUUGCUCCAGCCUCCGCCCGCGGCCUCGGGGCACGGCGGGCCCAGGCCGGAGGAGCUUUCGGUGGCGCGACCCCGCUGGCAUGCUCCCGGCCUCGGCCUCGGCCUCGGCCUUGGCCUCCGGGCCUCCAGCGCACGCGGGGCGUCCAGGGCCUCAUCUUCCCCUGGGGACCGCCCGGCCGUGUCCCGCUGCCCUCGGCGCAGGGGUGGGAGUUGCAGAGAGGAAGAGUCGCUAACCCGGAGUGUUUCUUAAAACUUGGCUGACCUGUGACCUGCGGAUUUGGAGGCUGAAUUCUCCGAGCACCUGAAGCUACUGCAGGAUAUAAUCUAAGAAAAUAAGGGGAAGAAAACAAGAAAGAGGAAGACAUUGGAUCCAAGAAAUGGGGGAUCUAUCACCUUACAGAUGAAAAGAGAAUCUACAUGAUCUUUGUGAAGGAUCUGGCUAGAAACAGCACAAGGCAGCACAGGACUUGAGUCUGAAUCCCUUGCUCUGUCACUUCCUAGCUAUAUAGCUGCAGGCAAGUACUUACUCUCCCUAUGCCUCUGAUUUCUUAUUUUAAAGUUGAGGAAACAAGUAAUUCCCUCAUAAAGUUGUGUGUUAAUCAUUAAGGCUGUUGACAAAUACUCUGUUUUCCCAUCUUCUAUGCACGUUAAAAAUGUAAUCUCCUAUCUCUUUGAAGACAGAUAUGACCUUGGGACUUGCUUUAGCCAGUGGAAUGGAAGCAGAAGUAACCUGUAAUUUCCAGCAUCAAAACUCCUAUCCAUCCACAGUAUGUGAGUGGGAGUGGAAGGCGACAAUAAGCCACACAGAGGGGCCUUGUGUAACUGCUUGGUGCUCAGAGGAUCUGGACAGAAGCAUCUGGGCAGCCUGCCACAGGAAACUUCACAGCAAUGUCAAUAGUCCUGACGAAAACGAACCUUGACUGCUGGGCAAACUGAGAGGGUGGAAGGACAGAAAUGAGCAUCACUUGAAAUCUACUGAUGCCGGAAAAGAUAUUGUAAAGCAAAAUUUAAAAUCAAAAAGUAGUUAAUAAAUUUUGGCCCCUUCUAC
rnacentral:lncRNA from 1 species